AUAUUCCCUGUGCUGCCUGUUGCUGCUUUGUGGGGCUCUCUUUGCUUUGCCUCAUUAUGAGAGACUUGUGAGAGUAGCAGCAAGGCUGUAUUAAGCUCCACAUAAGAUUCCCACUGUCUCUUUAUUUUGGCAUGCUGCAAAUCUUGCAAAGAUAUUCCUUCUACUGGAAUUCUCCCUUUGAAAAGCAGAUGGCUCACUCAAACAUCUGGAAAAGCUGUCCCUGAGUGAAGUAGUGACUUGAUGUAAUGGCUUUCACAGACCUGUAUUUCCAAAAAGAUGAGGCUGACUCUCAAAGAUGCCAAAUGUCAAAUGGAUCAAAUGGAUCCAUCAGCCGUUCUCUGUAUUCCUUGUGUAAAGUCAAGGCGGACUUUGUAAGUAAAAGCACUUGCAAGGCAGAAUCGUUACACUUGUCCCAGGCCAUAAGGAAUCCUUUUAAAGUAAUCUCAAAAAUACACAGAAGAUACUACAAAGGGCAAUGUAUAUACCACGCAAAAAGAGAUUGUCCUUGAGAGCUUUGAAUAAAUAUCUCCUUUUGUUCCUCGCAAUUUCUCAACAGAAUGGAUGUAUUUUUUUUAAGAAAUGCAUCAGUCACCCACUUGAAAAUAUGAUGUUUGCUAUUUUAUUGUGUAUAUUUUCAUGAUUUUAGUAUGUAAUAUGUCGGGUUCUGAACUGAACUUGCAGGACAUAUUUUAAAAGUAAACUUUCAAUAUUUGUUUCAUCAUAAGUAAAAAACUUUUGUUCUUUCUCAAUGUUAUGAACAAUUAAUAUUCCAUUUAAUUUCCUGCUCAUUUAUUUGAAUGAUUUGAAAAUUAUAUUGUAUUGUUUUUUUCUCUUGACCAACACAUACUAUGCACUCUAGGAAAUAUGGUGAGAAAAAAAGUCUUCUAAGUGUGUUGGAAUGUGAUGUAGUAAAGGCAAGCAUGGGAACUGUAAUCAUUUUUAUAACUCCCUUUAUCGUUAUUGAAAAUUUUGAAGAUGGUUUAUGAACAUUAAAUAUCAAUAUUUGAGUUAAAGAUGCAUUUUUAUAUUUACUCUCUUCUUACAGCUUACAGUAACUUUCUUCUUAUAACUUAUAGUAACUUACAGCUGUUCUCUCUUAGCUUUUUGAUUUUUUAAAAAUAAUACAGUUUAUGUAUUUUUUGAAAAUAAUGUCAAUGUGAUGAAUGAAAACAUGGAUUUAGACCAUUCAGCUAGCGAGUGCAAUUAUAUCUACUUUCACCU
rnacentral:lncRNA from 7 species